GGCAACAGGGAAAGGACGAAUGACAAGGAGGGCUCCUGGAUUGCUGGCCUGGGUCAGAAAAGAAUGGGGAGGAUGUGGUACCCAUCUUGCAAUGGAGAUGGAGGACGAGCAGGUUUGGGGAAGAUGCUGAGUUGAAUCUGGGCCCUGUCGGAUCUGAGCUGUGCUCGGGAACAUGGAGGGGCAGGCGGCAGCUAGCUGGAAAGAGUGGGGCUGGAGGCACAGACCUGGUGUGGAGGAUGAGGAGGGGCACAGGAUGAGGCCUGAGGACCAUCAGCCUCUGUGGGUGGGCCAGGACGAUGCGCUGGGGGUAACUGUGCUGAGUGAGGCAAGAGCCCGCGUCAGUGCUUGGGGGCUCCCCAAGGAUGGUGGGAGCGGGCGUCCUCACAGCAGGAGUCGUCAAGCAUGACUUGGCACCAGACGCCUGGGCCUCCCUCAAGGGGACUGAGUCAUCCUGGGUGGGGGCGGGAGCUGCGGAGGGCACCCGUUGCCAGGGCCAUCCAGACACUCGUCAGGAUUAUAAACACGGCUCCAGUGAGGCGGCCCAGGGCUGUGAGGACCACCUUCUGUGUCUGGUCUGGGUGGCCGCCACCUCUGCGGCUUUCCCUUCUGUUCGGUCCUCUGCUGGUAAGGGCUGUCCAUCCCCUCGCCUGGACGUAGCUGGUCCCCUGCCUCGGCCUGGCACUGGGGUUCACAGCGGCCUUCCAGAGCUCGGAAUGAGGCCUGACCAGGGCCUGAAGUCCUCCCAGGUGCAGCUGCUCGAACCCACGUGGAUGGCAGCAGGGUCUGCCUGCUCUGCCCUGCUCUGGGACUCCUUUGAGGGAUACAGCUGGAUGGAGCAUGUCCUGAGAAGGAAGCCAGGCCAAGCAGGCGUCUGGAGCCAGGGACCCACAUUCCUUGGGAGUGGCCGGACACUUGGGGGGUGGGGCACAGCCUGGGAGGAGAAACCUGGGUGGUGGGUAUGUGCCAGGCCAUCUUGGAGCCGGGGGCAGAGGUGGGGUUGGACCUUGUACAUUAAGGCUCUCUUGGAUGCUUCUAGACACAGCCACAUCCCCGCCCAACAGGGCUCUGGCACAAACUACUCCUGUGUCCACACCCCAUUCUGUUCGUCCCAUCGCCCUGGGAGUUGGCGGGACGGUGGCCCUCUGUUUGAUUCACAUGUUAGGAAACUGAGGCUCCAAGAGGCUCAAUGACUUGUCCGAGGCAGCAGGUCCCCAGUCUGGGAGGACGGGAUUGAAGUCGUUUUUCCCAAAGAGGGAGGGCUUGAGUCUGGCCAUUCUUGGCCACAGGACUAAGCCAGUGCCCCGGCCCAUAGGAUUCCUUGCUGUACCAUGGGCCUGGGUCCCAGCCUGUCUGUCCAUCUUUCUGUUUGCCCACAUGGCCCUAAUUAUCCACCGAAUUAAGUUUCUACAAAGUAUCUACUGAGGCCUGAGCUUGGGAAGGGCCUUGAGACACCCCCUGCGUGAGCCCCCAGAUGGGCCUGAGUUUCUGCCUGGGGCACAGAACCCAGCCUAGCAGGCAGUGCCAGGCUGGUGGCCCUAGUGACUACGGGGGAAAGUCCAGAUAUGAGCUCUGGGAUCAGGCUCCCAGGACCCCCAGGGGUGCAGGUCACCCCCCUACCCUGGGCAUAUGUACACGGAGACCUGCAGGCACACACGCACAUAAGCACACCUGCACACACACACAUCACACCGAGGUUUUCAUCUCCAUGCAGAUGCGCUCCUGUGCGGGGCCCACAACACACACAGACACACACCACCACCCCAGGCCCACAGCCCGUGUGCACAUAUUCCCUCCUGUGCAGACGCGCGGCCGGGGCGCCAAGCCCUGUCUCCCGGACACGCGGCAAGAACCUUGGGCCUUCCCCGGCAGCCGCCUCCCUCGCAGACACGCUUAGUCACCUGAAUUUGAUCCAGGCGGGAGGGAGGGACGGAGAGCCUGACGUCAGCCCUCGCAGCCGCCUUCCGCCCGCCCGCGCAUCCAUCUGGGCCACAGCGUGUCCCAGCAAUCACAACAGCGACAGCACAACAACAACUCACUUUUACGGCGCCUCCUUCGUGGCAGGCCCUGUUCUGAGUGCCUUACGCGCACUCCCUCCUCAGCAUCUCAGCACGUGCGUGAGCUUCCCAACAAGGCUACGCAGAAGACCCCCCUUGACUGAAGCAAUGGAGGGGGGUCCAGCUGUCUGCUGCCAGGAUCCUCGGGCAGAGCUGGUGGAACGGGUGGCAGCCAUCGACGUGACCCACUUGGAAGAGGCAGAUGGUGGCCCAGAGCCUACUAGAAACGGUGUGGACCCUCCGCCACGGGCCAGAGCUGCCUCUGUGAUCCCUGGCAGUACUUCGAGACUGCUCCCAGCCCGGCCUAGCCUCUCAGCCAGGAAGCUGUCCCUACAGGAGCGGCCGGCAGGAAGUUAUCUGGAGGCGCAGGCUGGGCCUUAUGCCACGGGGCCUGCCAGCCACAUCUCCCCCCGGGCCUGGCGGAGGCCCACCAUCGAGUCCCACCACGUGGCCAUCUCAGAUGCAGAGGACUGCGUGCAGCUCAACCAGUACAAGCUGCAGAGUGAGAUUGGCAAGGGUGCCUACGGUGUGGUGAGGCUGGCCUACAACGAGAGUGAAGACAGACACUAUGCAAUGAAAGUGCUUUCCAAAAAGAAGUUACUGAAGCAGUAUGGCUUUCCACGUCGCCCUCCCCCAAGAGGGUCCCAGGCUGCCCAGGGAGGACCAGCCAAGCAGCUGCUGCCCCUGGAGCGGGUGUACCAGGAGAUUGCCAUCCUGAAGAAGCUGGACCAUGUGAAUGUGGUCAAACUGAUCGAGGUCCUGGAUGACCCAGCUGAGGACAAUCUCUAUUUGGGCCCGUCAUGGAAGUGCCCUGUGACAAGCCCUUCUCGGAGGAGCAAGCUCGCCUCUACCUGCGGGACGUCAUCCUGGGCCUCGAGUACUUGCACUUCCAGAAGAUCGUCCACAGGGACAUCAAGCCAUCCAACCUGCUCCUGGGGGAUGAUGGGCACGUGAAAAUCGCCGACUUUGGUGUCAGCAACCAGUUUGAGGGGAACGAUGCGCAACUGUCCAGCACGGCCGGGACCCCGGCAUUCAUGGCCCCCGAGGCCAUUUCUGAUUCUGGCCAGAGCUUCAGUGGGAAGGCCUUGGAUGUGUGGGCCACCGGCGUCACGUUGUACUGCUUUGUCUAUGGGAAGUGCCCAUUCAUCGACGACUUCAUCCUGGCCCUCCACAGGAAGAUCAAGAAUGAGCCCGUGGUGUUUCCUGAGGAGCCAGAGAUCAGCGAGGAGCUCAAGGACCUAAUCCUGAAGAUGCUAGACAAGAAUCCCGAGACGAGAAUUGGGGUGCCAGACAUCAAGUUGCACCCUUGGGUGACCAAGAAUGGGGAGGAGCCCCUUCCCUCGGAGGAGGAGCACUGCAGUGUGGUGGAGGUGACAGAGGAGGAGGUGAAGAACUCGGUCAGGCUCAUCCCCAGCUGGACCACAGUGAUCCUGGUGAAGUCCAUGCUGAGGAAGCGCUCCUUUGGGAACCCGUUUGAGCCCCAAGCACGGAGGGAAGAGCGAUCCAUGUCUGCUCCAGGAAACCUACUGGUGAAAGAAGGGUGUGGCGAAGGGGGCAAGAGCCCAGAGCUCCCCGGCGUCCAGGAAGACGAGGCUGCAUCCUGAGCCCCUGCAUGCACCCAGGGCCACCCGGCAGCACACUCAUCCCGUGCCUCCAGACGCCCACCGCCCUCAUGCAACAGCCGCCCCCGCGGGCAGGGGGCUGGGGACUGCAGCCCCGCUCCCGCCCCUCCCCCAUCGUGCUGCAUGACCUCCACGCACGCACGUCCAGGGACAGGACUGGAAUGUAUGUCAUUUGGGGUCUUGGGGGCAGGGCUCCCACGAGGCCAUCCUCCUCUUCCUGGCCCUUCUUGGCCUGACCCAUUCUGUGGGGAAACCAGGUGCCCAUGGAGCCUCAGAAACGCCACCUGGCUGGUUGGCAUGGCCCAGGGCAGGAGCAGAGGCAGGAGACCAAGAUGGCAGGUGGAGGCCUGGCUUACUGCAACUGAAGAGACCUCAUGCUGGGGCCGGGCAGGCCUGGCUCAGCUGCCACAGGCAUAUGGUGGAGAGGGGGGUACCCUGCCCACCUUGGGGUGGUGGCACCAGAGCUCUUGUCUACUCAAAUGCUGGUGUGCGGGCUCGGACCCCUCACUGGGGAGAGGGCCAGUGUUGGAGAAUUCUGAUUCCUUUUUGUUGUCUUUUGCUUUUGUUUUUAACCUGGGGGUUCAGGGGAGAGGCCCUGCUUGGGAACAUCUCACGAGCUUUCCUACAGCUUCGGUGGUUCCCAGCACACCCCACCAUUAUUUGGCAGCCGAGUGGACGGAGCUAACUUUCCUGGACUGUGUUUCGCAUUCAGCGUUAUCUGGAAAGUGGGCUGAACGGAAUCAAGCUCUGAGCAGAGGUCUGAAGCAGAAGCACCACAUUGUCCCUGCCCAUCUCCCUCCUUUGAUGGUUCCCCAGAGCUGAGGCUGGAGAAGACACCAGGGCUGACUUUGACUGAGGGCCACGGACGCGACAGGCCUGUGGCCCUGCACAUGCUGAAAUAACUGGAACCCAGCCUCUCAUCCUACACUGGCCUACGAAUCUGGCCCCAAGAGCUGCACUCACAUUCCUACAAUGAAGGACAAACUGUCCAGGUUGGAGGGAUCACGAGACACAGAACCUGGAGGGGUGUGCACGCCGGCAGGUGGCCUCUGCGGCAGCUGCCUCACCCUGAGGACAUCAGCCGUCAGCCUGCUCAGAGCGGGGGUGCUGGAGCGCGUGCAGACACAACUCUUCCGAAGCAGCCUUCGCCUCCUCUCUGGGAUCAGUGUCCGGCUGGCCGGCUUGGCGUUGGCUGACCAAAUGCUCGUAGAGGUUGACCCUCACAGGGAAAUCGCACAGGACGCAGACCUGCCCUGGAAACAUGGAUGGACGAGGGAUUUUGGCCACAGGUGUGGGUUUCCCAUUGGAGGAGGGCUUGUUUGGAGAAGGGAGGCUGGCUGGGGGAGAAACCCGGAUCCCGCUGCAUCUCCGCGCCUGUGGGUGCAUGUCGCGCCUCCACGCGCACACGCGUGCGCGUGCUCAUCUGCUGCACACAGCUCACUCGUAUGUCCUGCACUGGUACACGCAUCUGUUACCGUUUCUACGUCUAUUUAAGGCUAUAGGAGCCGAAUGUGCCCCGUUGUCAAUGGGUCCACGUUUCUCCCCGGCUCCUCUGUGCUAAGGCAGAGUGUGGCCCAGGGCUUAAGAAGUUAUUCCAUACUGUUUUUAAGAACACUUUUAUAGAGUUAGUGGAAGGCAAGUGAAGAGCCAAUCACUGAUCCCCGAGUGUGUCUUGAGCAUCUCUGAGCGUCUGGUCUGGGGGGGACCACGUCAAUCAGACCCACCCUUGGAAAGCUCUGGGGUGGACUCAGCUGGGAUGCUUACCCCGUCACUGAGGGUUUUGGUUGGCGUCGUCGUUUUUGAAUGUAGCACAAGCGAUGAGCAAACUCUAUAAGAGUGUUUUAAAAAUUAACUUCCCAGGAAGUGAGUUACAAACAAUAAAAGCCCUUUCUUGAGUUAAAAAGAAAAAAAAAA